GCGGAGUUUGAAGAGCGGGUGGGGGACUGUACCUACUGAACAGGUACAGUAUUACUUAUAACAUCAUAAGAUUAUUUUUCUUUUUUAUGGACUCAAAAUCCGCCGGGGGCAACCCCUUGGGAGUUCGAGUCUCCCUUCCGCACCA
rnacentral:tRNA from 1 species